GCGUACAGAUGGCUCUGACAGCAACUGAGCUCUGAAAGCUGGUUCCACCUCAAGCGAACACCCAGCCCUGCCUUCUGCCUCGGUUGGCGGCAUCCUAUUGUACGGAUACGCCAGGGGAGUCCGGCUGGUGCCCGAGCUGGUGGCCACCUGGCUCGAGGCAGAUAGGGCCGCCUGCCUCGCCCCUGCAUCUACAUCCCGAUAUGGGUGCACCAGCGCAUUUCAGAGCCAUGGCACAUCUUCACUUUCCACGCAGGACUCACUUGGCCUGAGAAAUACCUGCUCAGCUAUUUCCCAAAAAAAGGAUUAUCCACUAGAUUGGCAAGAGCAGGAAGGCUCUGGGACUGAGAGCACUUUGAAGGCCAGAAUUGUCUCAUCCUCAUUGGAGUCCUGGCCCCGGAUAGAGAAAAAGGAAAGAAAGCUUUUCCUAAUUCAGGGAAUUUCCAGAAGCACGGACAGACUGAGAUGUGACCUUUCCCCAGGUCUCCCUUGCCAUCGCCCUCUUCUGGCCACUCUUAGAAUGAGCACAGCUUGAGGAGAGGCCAAGGCUACUGGAAGACCAAGGAUGGCUGUGGAGCACGGAGGGGGCUGGAACCAAUCUCCCGAGAUUCUCUACUCUCCAGCCCUGCCCACCCAUCCCAUCCAGUCUGCAGACUCACAGAACACGCGGGCCCUGGUUAUCCAGCAUUUUCUACAAAAUUAUUGGGGAGAAAUGAGGCCCCAAGGGGCAAGCCUGCCUUAGGGUUAUUCCAUAAGGCUGCCACUGGGAGGUGGGGGCCUCUCUCAGACUUAUGCCUCUUUCACCCAGAUUUCCAGCAUGCACACCAGCACCCAGCACACCAGAGGUGCUCAGUACAUUCUUGAACAAGCCGAUGACGGCUUCUUGAGUCCAGACCCCCGAUGCCCACAUUAGCUCCCAGAGGCCCCAACACAGAUCCAGUAGCGUCCAGGAUCUGACAGUUUGUUUCAGGCGAUGGUUGAUUCACCUCCUUACCCUCCCCACCCCUCCACCCCCACCCCCAUUUUCACAGCCUCAGCUUCUGUGUUUUCGGGGCAAGGCCGCCACCAUUCCAACAGUGCUCUGGAGACCCUUCUCCCUGGUCACGAGCUGGGUCCCAUGAGGAAUUGAGAUACCUCAGUCGGGACAUGCUACCUGCUGAUGUUCUCUCAAAUGACCCAGGAACCCACACUUCUGCCCACCUUCCUAACUCAGAAGCCCCACCAGGCACAGCAAAGGUGAGUACUCUGCAGGACUACUCCCGCAAGGGAAAAGCAGGCCCCUCAAGUCUGGUUUGAGCUUCAGCCUUCGCAAGAUUCUCAGGUCUCACAGCCUCUGGGGCCUCCGGCCUCCUAGUGGCCUGGUCUUCCGCGGACCCGGCCCAGUUCUGGUCUGUCGGGCCUGCAGCUUGGCCCUCAGCCAGGUCGUUACGGGACCACCUCGUUAUUCAUUCGCAGAGAAUUUCCCCACGCACCAUGAGGCCUCCUAGAAUGACUGUCCCCAGUUCGGAGACGAGGGGAUUGCGGCUGCUAGAGGUCUCCAGGGGGUGAAGAAGUGGGGCCACGGGGGGCGGCCGACCGCUGUC